CACAAACAGCAAAGAACCAAACGAACCCCAACACCCAUAUUGAACCUAGCUUGCGAAAGCCAUUUUUGGAUAGAACCAAAACAAGCUUCCUUCGUCUACAGCCCUUUGUUCCUCCAUUUCGGGCAAACGAGUUAUGGUUCUUGUCUUCUUCAACCCAACAAAGGAAUCUCAAACGGUAACAUUGCUUUUUAUCAAUUCAUUUUCGAUUUCUCUUUUUCUUUAAUAAGAUUUGGAUAUCAAACAUUUUUCUUCAACAAAUUUCAGUUUUGACAUCUGUCCCACAUCGAUGUUGGACUUCAGAAACCUAGAAUUGUCCCUCUAUAAAUAGAACCCAUUCUCUCCUUCAAAAAAGAGGUUUUUUGACACCUCAAAAAGGUUUUUCACAACCACAAGAAAGUUUUAACACCCUAAAGUUCUGAAACUUUGAAUACUUGGCUUAAAACAUGAGUUUUCCCUCAUCUAAGGCGAGUUCUCGAAGUAUUGGAACAAGUUUAAAAGUUUUCGAGUCCGAAUUAGUUCGUCGUCGUUGGUGAAAAAUGAUCUACUCAACUCUCGUCGCCCCCGUCGCUGCUCGGCAAAAAGCAAGAUUUUGUUGCAACUGCUAAAGGCUGUAUUUUGUAGAACUAAGGAGGAAAAGGAUACCAGCUGGUUUCCUUAAGGCUAAAGUCGUUUUGGUGCUAACUGGGGGAUCAAAUGAUGCCUUGAACCAUCUAGUUUUGUUUGAUAUUUGUAUGUGUAGUAGCAGGAGAAGGACAAAUUUAUAUAAGAGUUGAUUUCACGAUCUUUUCUUCUUUUGGUUUACGUAUGAAGAUUUUCUAUUAGGAUUCUAAUUUAAUUAAGUUUCUCCUGGGUUGAGAGUGUUUAUUGCGUUUGGAUGUCGUCAUGGGAAGACCACUUUUAAUGACAUUUGAGAACAUAAGCUAAGUUGAUAUGCAUGAUUCGGAUUAGCUUACCUUUA